AGUGAACGCUGGCGGUAGGCCUAACACAUGCAAGUCGAACGGCAGCACAGUAAGAGCUUGCUCUUACGGGUGGCGAGUGGCGGACGGGUGAGGAAUACAUCGGAAUCUACUUUUUCGUGGGGGAUAACGUAGGGAAACUUACGCUAAUACCGCAUACGACCUACGGGUGAAAGCAGGGGAUCUUCGGACCUUGCGCGAUUGAAUGAGCCGAUGUCGGAUUAGCUAGUUGGCGGGGUAAAGGCCCACCAAGGCGACGAUCCGUAGCUGGUCUGAGAGGAUGAUCAGCCACACUGGAACUGACACACGGUCCAGACUCCUACGGGAGGCAGCAGUGGAGAAUAUUGGACAAUGAGCGCAAGCCUGAUCCAGCCAUACCGCGUGGGUGAAGAAGGCCUUCGGGUUGUAAAGCCCUUUUGUUGGGAAAGAAAAGCAGCAGGUUAAUACCCCGCUGUUCUGACGGUACCCAAAGAAUAAGCACCGGCUAACUUCGUG
rnacentral:rRNA from 1 species